rnacentral:rRNA from 1 species
CUAAUAGCGUAUAUUAAAGUUGCUGCGGUUAAAAAGCUCGUAGUUGAAUUUCGGAAUUGAUGCAUCGGUCGUGCCUUAAGGGGCAUGAACUGGUGUAGCCAAUUUCUCACCUUCUGGUGAAUUGUUGAUGUUCUUAAUGGGUGUCUCAAUGAACUAGAAUUUUUACUUUGAAAAAAUUAGAGUGUUUAAAGCAGGCAUUA